rnacentral:rRNA from 1 species
UACGUAGGGUGCAAGCGUUGUCCGGAAUUACUGGGCGUAAAGAGUUCGUAGGCGGUUUGUCGCGUCGUUUGUGAAAACCAGCAGCUCAACUGCUGGCUUGCAGGCGAUACGGGCAGACUUGAGUACGGGAGGGGAGACUGGAAUUCCUGGUGUAGCGGUGAAAUGCGCAGAUAUCAGGAGGAACACCGGUGGCGAAGGCGGGUCACUGGGCAGUAACUGACGCUGAGGAGCGAAAGCGUGGGGAGCGAACAGG